UAACGAAUCUUCCGCAAUGCGCGAAAGCGUGACGGAGCAAUGCCGCGUGCAGGAUGAAGCCCUUCGGGGUGUAAACUGCUGUCAGAGUUUAGUAAGAAAGUGAACAGACUCAAAGGAAGGACCGGCUAACUUCGUGCCAGCAGCCGCGGUAAUACGAAGGGUCCGAGCGUUAAGCGGAAUCACUGGGCUUAAAGCGUACGCAGGCGGACUUGUAAGCAUCUUGUGAAAUCCCACCGCUCAACGGUGGAACUGCAGGGUGAACUAUAAGUCUUGAGGUCGGUAGGGGCUGUCGGAACGAUAGGUGGAGCGGUGAAAUGCGUAGAUAUCUAUCGGAACGCCGAAGGUGAAGACAGGCAGCUGGGCCGAUUCUGACGCUGAGGUACGAAAGCGUGGGUAGCGAACGGGAUUAGAUACCCCCGUAGUCC
rnacentral:rRNA from 1 species